AUUACCUAUUAUUGUUCUUGAGUUAAAAGUUUUUCAUUGUGACUUUAUCUUUUUGUUUGACAAAUCAAAUGUUCACAAAUCAACACUAUCAACCGAACUCCAUUCAGAAUCAUUUUUUCAUGAAAAAAAAAGAAAAUAUAUUCGUCAUAUACUAUUCGAAAUUGUUUAGCAAAAGGAAAAUACCGUAGAUAUAUAUUUUAUAAUCUAUGGGACUUAUCAUCUUUUUGCCCAAAAUUUGGUUUAACCAAACAAUCCCAUAUCAUUAUUCUCUCCGUAUCUAAUAGACGAUCUUGCAUUGUUGUUGUACCGAUCCCCUCGACUAUCUUUUAUCUUCAUCUGGGUUCACUGAAGAAACCAUGAAAAUAACGCACUUCGCUCGGAAAAAGUAGAUUUUCGUCCCGGUAAUGAAAACUAAUAAGUACAAAUCCUGCAAUGAAGUAAUUUUAGGAUACAUACGUACAUUCCUACACUGUUACAUUAAUUACCAAUAUCAUAUUGUCAUUCGGUAAAAUGAUAUGAUAUUUAAUUGAAAACAAACAGUGCACGUAUGUAUUAAAUUAACACACUUUUAUCAGACACAAAAUACAAAAUUCGCUAAAAUGUUUAACAUGUGUACAUCGUAAUAUAUUUUAAAUUAAAAGAGGUGAUAUUGGGUAUGGGAGCGGCCGCUGUUGUAGGUGAGAAGUUGGGAAAGUAGGAUACAUAAGUUUAUUCAAUUUAUAUCUGUAGGCAACGAUAAACCAUUGCUUGACGAAAGACGAUUCUGAGCACAGUUCGGUAAUACAUAAUUUGAAUUGCCAUAAUCUUUUUUGCGAUUUUUGUAUAAAUUUGAUUUCAAAACGUUUAUAAAAAAAAAUUCGUCCGAUAAUUUUGGAAAUUUUACGAUGUCUAGGUUAAUCCAAUAAAAGUAUUAUUACCAAGUUUCAAGUCUCUACGUGUAUUUAUAUCCGAAUUACAACAAAAAACUCCCAUAAAUUUAAAUUCCUUAAAAGCUCAAAAGUGGCUCAAAAUUUUUGGCUAUGAUACCGUAAGAAAGUUAAUCAAAAAGGCAAUAAAGAAGGUACCUUAUGAUUUUUCGAUUAAAUCAAUUUUUCUGGUAAAAAACGUUGUCUGUGUUUUUAUAAAACAAUGAAAUCAUGAAAAAAUACAUUUUCCUACGUUUUUUCCCACUUAAAUGUGUUUAUUUAAAAAAUGGCGUCGAAAAUA